CCAUAUCAGUCACCAUGCACUAAACUCAAGUCCAAGUGGAUCAAAGACCUCAACAUAAAUCCAGUUACACUGAACUUGAUAGAAGAGAAAGUAGGAAGUAGCCUUGAAUGUAUUGGCACAGGAGACCACUUCCUAAAUAUAACACCAGCAUCACAGACACUGAGAGCAACAAUCAAUAAAUGGGAUCUCCU